rnacentral:rRNA from 1 species
ACAUGCCUACAACAUAUCAUUAAUGUAGUGAAUCCCAUUAGAAAUCCACAAUUAAGCAUGCCCAAGMUAGAGUGGUAUUGGCAUGGGUGACCACCCAGGAAGUCCUAGUGUUUUACAUGCC